GACGAACCGUCCGAACGUUAUUCGGUAUUACUGGGCUUAAAGAGUUCGUAGGCGGCUUUGUAGGUGAGAUGUGAAAGCCCACGGCUCAACCGUGGAACAGCGUUUCAAACCACAAAGCUAGAGGAUGGCAGGGGUAGUGGGAACUGAUGGUGGAGCGGUGAAAUGCGUUGAUAUCAUCAGGAACACCGGUGGCGAAAGCGCACUACUGGGCCAUUUCUGACGCUGAGGAACGAAAGCUAGGGUAGCGAACGGG
rnacentral:rRNA from 1 species